UACGUAGGGUGCAAGCGUUAUCCGGAAUUAUUGGGCGUAAAGGGUGCGUAGACGGCUGUGCAAGCCAGAUGUGAAAGCCCGCAGCUCAACUGCGGGACUGCUUUUGAAACUGCCAAGCUAGAGUGUCGGAGAGGUAAGUGGAAUUCCUAGUGUAGCGGUGAAAUGCGUAGAUAUUAGGAGGAACACCAGUGGCGAAGGCGGCUUACUGGACGAUGACUGACGCUGAGGCUCGAAAGCGUGGGGAGCAAACAGG
rnacentral:rRNA from 1 species